AAAAAGACCAAAUCCUGCAAUAACAACUCAAAAGGGCACAAAAUCUUCCCCCAACUCCAGACUGCUUCCUUGUCGCCCUCGAUUCGCCGAUGACCUUACCAAGCACCAACCGAAGCGAAAUCGGCCGCCGAACUAACCGUCUGACAAUGAAAUCGGUUGCCACCAAAACCUGAACUUCAGAGCAGUGGCGAAGUGGCGACGAAGGGAAAUGUUAGCCCACAGUGAAAUCGACCGCUGCAAUCUGAAACCAACGUGAAAUUGACGGUCGCACUACCUCUCCCUGAGUUCGGUGACUCCUCUAGUUGCGAAAUCUGUUGCAAACAAUUUUAUAAGUCUCCUUCGUUAGUCAUCCAGUAGAAUGAGAUGAAGAAAUUUUGGAGUUUGUCAUGGAUGUAGAAGCAACACUCACUAUUUCGGACAAUGCCCAUCAAAACAACGAUGCCCUAGUUGUGACCAUGGAUAUCGGAAAUGUUUUGAGGUUGAAUAGGAUACCGGUAACAAAGGGCGUUGGUUCCUCACCUGUAGCGAUGAGUGUGGGUACUUUGAUUGGGUGAAAGAUAAAGAUGUAGGCAAGGAAUCGAGUUCUGUUAAUCGUCCUGUGAAUGAUGCACCGAACAAGGAAGACGAAGAGUUGCCAAGACUAUUUGAUGGACUAGCGAGAAUUAGUGAGAAACGAGGGAUAGACAUAUCACUGCACAUGACUUUUAGCAAGGGAAAAGAAAUUGUGAAAUGUGAUGAGCAAAAAAAGGGGUCGGGUUGAAGGGAUUAUUUAUGUAAGUGGUCGAUGAAUUCGUGUCUUUUUUAUUGGGUACAAAUGUUGUAGUUCCUCUUUUAGAUUGUUUUCCAGCAUAUGUAAUUAGGUCUUUGCAAUUUGUGUAUCAACAACUUUGCUCUCAAAUAGAUCACAUUUGUUCCCCACCAAAAGAUUGCAUACACUGUCAUUUACAUAGCUAUCAAUCUCAUUAAGCCAUUGCUUAA